UACGUAGGGUGCGAGCGUUAAUCGGAAUUACUGGGCGUAAAGCGUGCGCAGGCGGCUUUGCAAGUCAGACGUGAAAUCCCCGGGCUUAACCUGGGAAUGGCGUUUGAAACUACGGAGCUGGAGUGUGGCAGAGGGAGGUAGAAUUCCACGUGUAGCGGUGAAAUGCGUAGAUAUGUGGAGGAAUACCGAUGGCGAAGGCAGCCUCCUGGGCCAACACUGACGCUCAUGCACGAAAGCGUGGGGAGCAAACAGG
rnacentral:rRNA from 1 species